rnacentral:piRNA from 1 species
UAGCGAGUUAAGAAAACGCCACACUUUGA